rnacentral:rRNA from 1 species
CCUACGGGAGGCUGCAGUAGGGAAUUUUGCGCAAUGGGCGAAAGCCUGACGCAGCAACGCCGCGUGAUCGAGACGCCCUUCGGGGUGUAAAGAUCUGUCAGUGGGGACGAAACUUGACGGUACCCACAGAGGAAGCACCGGCUAACUCCGUGCCAGCAGCCGCGUUAAUAGGGGGGGUGCAAGGGUUGUCCGGAAUCGUUGGGCGUAAAGGGUUCGUAGGCGGUACGUAAGGCCUGGUGGUAAAGGCAGAGGCCAAACUGCUGUACGGCAAUGGAUAGUUGCGAGCUAGAAUGCGGUAGAGGUAAAGGGAAUUCCUGGUGUAGCGGUGAAAUGCUUAGAUAUCAGGAGGAACAUCGGUGGCGUAAGCGCUUUACUGGGCCGUAAUUGACGCUGAGGAACGAAAGCCAGGGUAGCAAAUGGGAUUAGAUACCCGAGUAGUC